rnacentral:snRNA from 1 species
AUCGCUUCUCGGCCUUUUGGCUAAGAUCAAGUGUAGUAGCUGUUCUUAUCAGUUUAAUAUCUGAUACGCCCCGAUUUGGGGGCAACGUAUUAAACGCAUUUUUAGAACAGGGAGCCGAAUAAGGGGCUCGCUCCGUUCGCUCCACGCAUCGACCCGGUAUUGCAGCGCCUCCGGGAACGGUGCCCCCUUU